rnacentral:rRNA from 1 species
UGAGCAACCUACCCUCAACUUUGGGAUAAGCCUCGGAAACGGGGUCUAAUACCGAAUAAUAACCCUGCCCUCAUGUGUGGGGUUUGAAAGUUCUGGCGGUUGGGGAUGGGGCUCGCGGACUAUCAGCUUGUUGGUGGGGUAGUGGCCUACAAGGCGACGACGGGUAGCCGGCCUGGAGGGGGUGACCGGCCACACUGGGACUGAGACACGGCCCAGACUCCUACGGGAGGCA